AAAAUUUAUACCGGAAAAAUUAAACGCUUAGUUUCAUAUCGUCUCGCCUCUUCAAUGUUAUACGAAGUGUAGGAAUUCCGGAAUGCUUUCGCAGCAGUUUUAAUAAAAUACGCGCCGACGAUUUUCACUCUUCCGUUUAGGUGUUUUACUCUCGAGCCAUAUGCCCAGAAAAUUUAACUAAUUUCGCGUAGUUUAACCGCGUUGUUGAGAAAAUUGUUGAAUCAUUUUUUGACAAAUGAAAUCCACACAUUCGUAAGAUCAAAGAAAUAAAUCAUCAUUCUCGGAUAGAUACCUACAUACAUAAAGCACACUCUUGAAAAGCCAUUACAAUGGUCAGGUAUGUACUUCGAAAAAAAAGACACACGGAAAAGGAUAACUUCAAUUCUUUGAUUUUAAAAUUGAUACCGAAGUGUGCGAGGGUCUCUUUUUCGACGUGUUCUAUAUUAUUCGAAGACUUUGUGUCGUUUAGAUAUCUAGUACCAGGCAAACCGUGUGUAUAAAAAUUUGACCCUCCGAAUUGAAAACACGUGGGCGUGUUGUCGGAUUUUGUAUUACAGGUCUCAUAACGUGAAUCUUCAAAGUUGUAAUCAUCAUGAAUGCGGAAAAUAAAGAGCACAUAUAUAAACUAUAAUCACCAGCACACCUCUGAGGUGUAUCAACUAAUGUUACAGUCUUGAUCUAGUGUGUAACAUUAAGUAAGUUUUAAUAUAUCUUCUCGCCUAAUGUCUUAUGCUAUGUAAUUGCGUAAUAAGUAAAGUGUCUUCGUACAGCUGACGUGAGCUGAGUAAGUGUAAGAGUAGUUUUUCAUUACGUUUUUGGCUACCUAUGUGUUUUCGGCGUUAGUUCUCAAAAGCUUAGAACAUUAAAAAUAAAAAAUUUUGAUUAUAAUUUUUAAAAUUUUCAGUUCCAUUUUUAUAUUGUGAAAACGUCGCAAUUGUAAUUCAAAUUUAUUUUUUAUAAAAAUAUAUGGUAUACCUACUUAGAUCUUAGAUACUCAAUUAUAUGCUUGCUUUGUCAUCCCAAAUGACAAUAAUAAGUAAAAUAAGUAUGAGUAAGAUAAAGAUACCUAGACAUACCAUAAUUUAUUUGAGUAAACUUAUUGUGAAUUCCUCUCUGAAACAAUAAAUAUUGGUAUCUUAAAAACGUAGUAGAUUCGCAAUUUAUCGUUCACGUACCCAUAUACAAAAAGAUCAUUAAGUAAGAACAUAAUAUACUUACAUAUGCAGUACUUACUUGGAAUUGCGACGAAGUUUUUACGACAUUAUUAACAUAAAUCGUGAAAAUAAAGCUGUCAGUGUAAUGUAAGACAGAGAGUGAUUUGAAGUUUUUUUGUCUUUUUUUUUCAACCAAUUACCAACGUUUUAUUAAGUCAGAUAAUUCACACAGGUAAAAAUUAAUCUGUCACUUCUUUCAAUUGUUUUUUUUCUUUCUUUUUUUCAGAAAGGUGUCGAAGAUACUUGUAGGUACCUAACAAGGGAACGUUUUCAAUUCUUGAACAAUCGAACUCGAUCUUCUGUAACCUCGAACAAUAGCUCAUCACAUGGGAUCCAUUUGCGUACACUUCUUCACCUACUUUCAAGAAGUCAGAAAACAUCAACAGAGAGUUUUUCUACUACAAUAGUAAACAUCUGAAAGCAUCUUCCAGCUCCAUCACACGUAUUUUAGAAAGGAUUAUGCUACUUUAAUAGCAUUCGCGUCAAAAAUUGCUCAUUUUCGUAACAUUUUAAAAUUCAGUCUUUUAUUUAGUUAACGCUUUAAUAACUCUGCAUAUCCAUACCCAAACUUAUUGCUGAAAAAACUACGCCAAAAAGAGAUUUGUUAAAUAAAGUGUAACUUGUUUAUACAUCUCGUAUUGUUACAGAUGUCAAAAGCCAUGUCAAUGGUAACGGAUCCCUGUAGCAAAUGUCAAUACUUUGACAAGCUAAUUUAAAAUUUCAUUGAAAAUUGGAAACCCCGUGUAGUUGACUUCUAUCUAAUAUCUCGGAAAUCCUUUUGUCUCGAGUUAUUUUUUAAUAUUUGGAGAGUCGACGAUAGAAUGGGUUGAAUACACAUACGUAUAGGUAGGUAGUAGGUACCUGCAUUCUAGUCUGCGUACUAUCUCAAAAAGACAUUUCAAUUACCUAUAUUAUUAUCUACACUAUUUCGUAUACCUUUACCUAUCUAUAUCUUAUUAACUUGGAGAGUGCGUGUGUAGUGAAAGUGUUAAAGGAUGGAAUGAAAGUAAAAGAGUUAGGUGGUAUAGACACGUUGAAGUUAGUUAGAGGCCACCCAUACGGUUGUUGUACAGGAGCUACCUUAAUGAUCAUUUAAUUACGGCCAAAUUACUAGAUCACAGUGAUCAAUUAGAAGAUGAAUCGUUUAAAAAGACCUUCAUUAACGAUUAACGCGUCUAAUUUAAAAUCGGUUAUUUGAAGCACAUAUUGGGAGAGAGGAGAUGCUAAAACACUUGAGGUGUUUUUUUGUUCCAAAACAGGAAUGAGCAUUUGCGAUUUUGCUGAAAUAUUCAUUUUUUCAAGGGCACCUAGUACCUACUCGUACCUAUCAAAAUACAUUUUAUUUCAAUGAAAAAAAAAUUAAUCUAGUAAGCCAUUCGAAACUAUUGAGAACUUUGUCAGUGAAUAAGAGAGGAAUGGAUCGAAAUAUAUAUAAUUGAAUGCAUUGUUCAUAAUAGAAUUUUUAAUGAAAGUUUGGGCUCUGAUUACUAUUUUCAUUUAUUUAUUUUUGAAUGAUAUUUUUCUAAAAUUGGGAAGUAAAAUUGGCUCACCUGCGAAUAGUUUUCUUAAAAGUUUGACCAAGCACCUAAGUACCAUAAUUAUCUGUUGUGGGCAUCUACAUAUUUCAUUCCUGAAAUCAUGUUUCCCAUUGACCUUGAUGUGGUGCAAUGUAUAUGAUGGGGAUUUGAAAAAAUGAAAGUGAAUAGGAAUCAUAACAAUAUUGAAAAUUUCAACUCUCCUUCAAUUCAAAACAAUUUAUCUUCGCAAAAUUCUAAAAUUCAGGACUUUCAAUCUGUGAUAUUGACUUUUGAAUCUAAAUUUUAAUUUUUUGAAAGGAUAAACCUUGACAGAAAAAACACCUCUUAUGUAUUUGAAAAAUUUCGUUUUUGGGUUGACCAAGCGUUACCAAAGAAAGAACAACUUUUUGUUAAAUUAAUACUUAAACCUGGGAAAAUCGUGCUCUAGUUGGAAAUUAUUCUGAAACUGUAAUUUCCUAGGAAAAUUAUGAUUAAUUCACGUUCGAGUGAAAAUUUGAAAAAAAAUUUAUGAUUUGUGUUCAAAAAAUUGGUUGAACUGAAUUCUAAUCAGAAAAUAGAGAUACGUAGUUUAUAAUUUUCAUGUUUUUAGCCAAUUUUUUUCGUUGGCACUGUUUCUACUGAUUUUUAAAAUAAGAUUUUGGGCCUGAUUCUUCGCUCACCCCUUCCGCCCCCAAAAAAAUUCAUUUAUCAAAUUACAUUUUCACAGAACUAUAAUGUGACAUCGUUCAGUUGAGGUAAAUUGAAUUCCAGCUAAGGUAGAGAAAUAAUUUUGAGUAGUACUAGGGAAUGCAUGGCGGCAUAUUUUGAGUUUCUUGAAAGAUCGAAAUGAGCUACUUAGAUAAAACGUAGGUAAGUAGGUAUCCUGUAUUCUUACAAAAAUGAAUGAGAAAGUUUACUUUAAGAGGACGACUACUUAGAUUCAUUUUAAUUUUUUUUCUCACCACAAGAGCUGAGCCAGGGAUCUUCAAAAUUGAGUCAUUUUCGACAGUUAAGGAGCCAACAUUUUUCCAAGGGGGGGGGGACAUGAUAAAUUUUUUAGGUACGUAUAAAAAAGUCUAAAUUUUCCUGAGAAUACCUACUUCAUAGUGUAAAGUAUAUAGGUACGUAUUACAUAGGUAUUUUAUGAAAAUAAAAUUCAAAUUAUUGUUUUAACGAAGCGAGAGCAAAAUUUUUUGAAAAACCUGGUUCUCUAAGCAAAGCAAAAAAAUUUCUAUUUUUGUUCCUAUGUUUUACCUAUAUUGAAUUCUCACUCGUUGGAAUCCCCUCUCUUUGGCUAAGUCACUAGAUGGAACUUAUUUUUGAAAAACUUAUUUUUUCCUCUUUUAUGCAGAUAGUGUCACAGGAUGAAAACUUGUGGGAUUUUUCCCCUAUCAUAGGAGAUUUUGAGGCGUGAGAGAAUGGUAUGGGAAAAAUAAAGAGAAAUGAGGAAAUCUCAAACUUCAAAGUGAGUUAACAUUUCACGGUGAGAUCCAAAAUGGCAACAGUUUUCAUGUCGCAUAUGUUCCACUUGUAUUGACUUUCCCCUCAGAACCCCAAUUUCCCAACUUUAACUUCUUUUAUGAAAAAAAAAACUCGGGGGAAAAAAAUUUAAAAUUGGCUUUAAUUUUUUUCAGCCUCAGCACGAAAAAAUUGUUUUUGAUGGUUCCACAAGGGGAGGGGAAUAAUUUGAAAAAUAUCAACAUUAAUUAUACUUAUAGAAACUUUUCCAUGAAAUUUCAUCACCAAGUGGUCAAAAAUUUUAAUACUUUUCAAAAGAAUUUUAUUUCAAAUAAAUAAGAAUUUCAGAAACCGAAUCAUUUCCAUUGGAUUGAUAAGGAGGCUAACGGGUAGGAGAGAGGGAUUUGGAACGCGAAUCAUGAAAGUUUUCUUUGAAAAUUUCUAGAUCUUUAUUGGCAUCCUAUCUACAUAUUUUCUCAAAUCAAACUGUUGAAGCACCAAUUCAAAUACAGUAGACUUCCGCUUAUCCGGACAGCCGUAUUAUCCGGACGAAAAAAAAUUAUCCUUAUUAUCCGGACUUUCCGAUUAUCCGGACAAAAUCCGUAUUAUCCGGACAAGUACACAUGAAUUACAUACGAGUACAUGCUCAAAAAUUUUUGUUAUCUUCGUUUUUCGUUUGUUUUUCUCUAUUUUGUGAAGAAAUAAAAUUCAUCUUUCGCACAUUUCAUUAAAAAUUACAAAAAUACACCAUUAUCAUCAAAAAAACAGUCAUUUUUGGCCAAAAAUUCAACCAAAAACAUAUUAAUCCGUAUUAUCCGGAUUUUUGCUUAUCCGGACAUCCAAAUUCCCCAGUUAGUCCGGAUAAGCGGAAGUCUACUGUACCUACCUACGUACACGAAUUUUUUGAACUUUUCUACGAAAGCUGACAGAGUGACAGAGUAAACCCAACGAGCUCAUAUUUAGCCGUGUAAAAAAUGGGAUGUUUCCAUUGACGAUAUUAUUCGCAAAGCGGAAUUAAUUCGGCGAAAAGCUAAGAAGAGAUUCGUUAAGAAAACAAUACACUUUUGAACGGCUAUUAGUUGAAAAUGGUUUAGCGGCGGGCGGCAUUUCACCGAGUUGUGUUAAAACUAAAGAAACAUAAUUCCGCUCUACGUUGGAGCGCAAAUGACCUCUUCAUUAAUUAAAAUUAUUAUCAAGACGAACAAAAAACAAUUUUAGUACCCCACACAGGUAACCCAUUAAGAAAUGAAAUAAUAUGCAAGAUACGUCCGAGCUAAUGCAAAUUUUUACGCGCACGUGAUACAUACAGCGACACGGUAAUAAAAUCACUUUUUAUACCUUUGUCUAAAGCCGGUAAUAAUUUCAGUUACUGCUGAUAGGGCAUACGGCAGGUUGAAGCUCAUUCUUUUUAUAACUUGAGCUGAGGUGACGUCGCGCGAGACUCAGCUUUAUUUGCUUUUCAACAAUUUAAAAUGCCCGCCUAUAUUACGAGCAUUUAUACGCGUUCAUUCUUGGACACUUGGUACCUCUACCUAUGUAUGCCUAGGCGCGUAAUUCACUUCAACGGUCGAGAACUACGAUCGCAGGUGAGGUAGGUUAGGUUUCAGGUGGGAAUACGGAUUACAGGUGCAACAACGAGACGCGGUUAUCUGAUUUUUCAUCAAUGAACUGAAGAAAUGUACUAUAAUAUAGUAUUAAUUUAUGUGUCAAUAGAAAAUGCGUGAAAUCGCCAUAAUUGCAUAAAAUAAACAAUAGUGAUAAAAGUUCUUCUGUACAGUUCCGAUGUAAAAUGAUUAUGUGAUUUUUGUCGGUCAUGUUAAUUAGUUUUGCCUAUUAAUAAUGAAUCUAGACUGUGUAGCAUUGCAUCGUAAAAGAAUUUGAUACAGUUAUAUUUUAA